rnacentral:rRNA from 1 species
GCAGGCUGCAACCCGCCCUGCAUGAAGUCGGAAUUGCUAGUAAUCGCAGAUCAGCAUGCCGCGGUGAAUACGUUCCCGGGCCUUGUACACACCGCCCGUCACACCAUGGGAGCCGGUAAUACCCGAAGUCAGUAGUCCAACCUCGUGAGGACGCUGCCGAAGGUAGGAUUGGCGACUGGGGUGAAGUCGUAACAAGGUACC